UGGGGAAUUUUGGACAAUGGGCGAAAGCCUGAUCUAGCAAUGCCACGUGUGUGAAGAAGGCCUUCGGGUUGUAAAGCACUUUUGUCCGGAAAGAAAUCCUUGGCUCUAAUACAGUCGGGGGAUGACGGUACCGGAAGAAUAAGCACCGGCUAACUACGUGCCAGCAGCCGCGGUAAUACGUAGGGUGCAAGCGUUAAUCGGAAUUACUGGGCGUAAAGCGUGCGCAGGCGGUUUGCUAAGACCGAUGUGAAAUCCCCGGGCUCAACCUGGGAACUGCAUUGGUGACUGGCAGGCUAGGGUAUGGCAGAGGGGGGUAGAAUUCCACGUGUAGCAGUGAAAUGCGUAGAGAUGUGGAGGAAUACCGAUGGCGAAGGCAGCCCCCUGGGCCAAUACUGACGCUCAUGCACGAAAGCGUGGGGAGCAAACAGGAUUAGAUACCCUGGUAGUCCACG
rnacentral:rRNA from 1 species